CUAAGCAAAGGGCCUGGACACUUCUGAGGAGCAGAGCCACCAGAUAUUGGUGAUGGCUGCUUUAGUGCCAGUUGUUCUGAGUGACAAUGUUUGGCCUCUGGACCAUUGCCUGGAUAAGGGAUCAUGGGCUGUACAAAAUGGAGAAAGUGAGCUGAACAUGGAUUUUGCAUUUAUCGUCCUGUUACUUGAUUGUGGAUGCAAUGUAACCAGCUGCCUCAAGCUCUGGGGGUCUUGACUUCCUCAUCAUGAAGGAUUGUGCC